AAUAGUUGAAUUAAACUAAACUGACUGUUUAGCACAUGUCCUUUAUUUAAUUUAUUAAAUAUAAUACAAAAAAGUGACAUUAUACUUAACCACUAUAGUCAGGAUUUCUUCCGUAUUGAGGGACAAUAAGAAGAUCAAGAUUGUCAUAUACGAUUUCAUCAUUAAUAGUAGUCAACCAACACCAAUGACCCUCCGACCAUUUGUUUCCACCUGAAAAAUUCAUAUUAAAGAAAUUACUCAUAAAUGCAAAGAUUAAAAUAAUAAUCAUAAAUGGUAUUCAACUGAUAUUAGCCUAAAACCUGCGCAAGAUGUUUCCAUAGUCUUCAGAUCAGAAAAGAUAUAUGCUUAUGCCGAAAAGUAAUCAAAACUCGAUAGUAAGCUGCUCUUGCGAGUUCUUGCUUCUGGUUUGAUAUAACAUACAUGUCUAUUGUAUAUAUAGAAAUAAAUAGCCGACAGUGGGU
rnacentral:lncRNA from 1 species